rnacentral:sRNA from 1 species
GACUGGUCCAUUAUCAUCUUCACCAACACGUGCAAGACCUGCCAGAUUCUGUGCAUGAUGCUGCGCAAGUUCAGCUUCCCCACCGUGGCUCUGCACUCCAUGAUGAAGCAGAAAGAACGCUUUGCCGCCCUAGCCAAGUUCAAGUCCAGCAUCUACCGGAUCCUGAUUGCAACAGACGUGGCCUCCCGGGGCCUGGACAUCCCUACGGUACAGGUGGUCAUCAACCACAACACCCCCGGGCUCCCCAAGAUCUACAUCCACCGAGUCGGCCGGACAGCACGUGCAGCAAAGAUGAAUCCCAGCUACUCGGGAGGCGGAGGCAGGAAAAUCACUUGAACCUGG